UUACAGGCGUGAGCCACGGUGCCUGGCCCCAGGCCUUUUAGACUGAACUCAGACAUCACCUCCUUCAGAAAGCCUUCAUGAUGAGUGUUUGUGUCUGCGCAGGCAUGGCACUAAGUGUCCCAUGGCACAUUUGGCCCUCAUGGAGGCCUCAAAAGGGCAGGACCAGCACCCUCUUCUACGGAGGAAGGAACGGGCACAGCAGGUACAUGAUGUGGUCAAAUUAACAAGAGGCAGAGGCCGGGGUGAGCCACUGCGCCUGAUCAAGGCAUCACCGUUGAACCUCCUAAGAGGAAAACAUAAGGCUGUGCAAUACCAGGAACUGGGAUUCUAGGUUGCCCCAGACACCAAGGCAUCAAAAGCCAGGGGAUCCAGAGAAAACACAGACAGCCAAGAGAGAAACUGCGGGAAAAAGCCAAAAGGUUGAGAGCCACACCAUCUAGAAGCUUCCUGCCUGUGGUGCGGCACAGAAACAAGGAGAGUCAGCAAUUACCAGCCAGCCAAGGUCCUGGAAGCUGACGUAGAGCUCGUGCCGACGGCAGACCUGCCGGCCGUGGGAGCCGCGGACGUCAUCUGCAGGGACAGAAGGGGCAAGGUCUUUUCUGGGGUUCCUGCUGUGUGCAGCUACUAUGGGGUACCAGGGUGGGGGAUGCCCUGAUGAGCACAUUUGUCAAAUAAAUGAAUGACAGGAAACCA
rnacentral:lncRNA from 10 species